GACGAACCGUGCGAACGUUGUUCGGAAUCACUGGGCUUAAAGGGCGCGUAGGCGGGUGACCAAGUCCGGGGUGAAAUCUUUCGGCUUAACCGGAAAAGUGCCUUGGAUACUGGUCGCCUGGAGGGAGGUAGGGGCAUGUGGAACUUCCGGUGGAGCGGUGAAAUGCGUUGAUAUCGGAAGGAACGCCGGUGGCGAAGGCGGCAUCCUGGACCGGUAUUGACGCUGAGGCGCGAAAGCCAGGGGAGCAAACGGG
rnacentral:rRNA from 1 species